rnacentral:rRNA from 1 species
CCUGGUGGCCAUAGCAGAGUGGAAAUACCCGUUCCCAUCCCGAACACGGAAGUCAAGCGCUCUCACGCCGAUGGUACUGCAGCAAUGCGGGAGAGGAGGUAGCCGCCAGGU